rnacentral:rRNA from 1 species
GAAGGGCCCGAGCGUUGCGCGGAAUCAUUGGGCUUAAAGCGUACGUAGGCGGACGAGCAGGCACCUUGUGAAAUCCCUCGGCUCAACCGAGGAAUUGCUUGGUGAACCGCUCGUCUUGAGGCAAGUAGGGGCUGUCGGAACGAUAGGUGGAGCGGUGAAAUGCGUUGAUAUCUAUCGGAACGCCAAAGGUGAAGACAGGCAGCUGGGCUUGUUCUGACGCUGAGGUACGAAAGCGUGGGGAGCGAACGGGGGAUUAGAUACCCCGGUAGUCCACGCCGUAAACGAUGUGCACUAGAUCGAGGGGGGUUCUGACGCCAUUCUCGGUCGAAGCAAAAGUGUUAAGUGCACCGCCUGGGGAGUACGGUCGCAAGGCUA